rnacentral:rRNA from 1 species
GGGUCAUCCCGACUUACCAACCCGAUGCAAACUGCGAAUACCGGAGAAUGUUAUCACGGGAGGCACACGGCGGGUGCUAACGUCCGUCGUGAAGAGGGAAACAACCCAGACCGCCAGCUAAGGUCCCAAAGUCAUGGUUAAGUGGGAAACGAUGUGGGAAGGCCCAGACAGCCAGGAUGUUGGCUUAGAAGCAGCCAUCAUUUAAAGAAAGCGUAAUAGCUCACUGGUCGAGUCGGCCUGCGCGGAAGAUGUAACGGGGCUAAACCAUGCACCGAAGCUGCGGCAGCGACGCUUAUGCGUUGUUGGGUAGGGGAGCGUUCUGUAAGCCUGUGAAGGUGUGCUGUGAGGUAUGCUGGAGGUAUCAGAAGUGCGAAUGCUGACAUAAGUAACGAUAAAGCGGGUGAAAAGCCCGCUCGCCGGAAGACCAAGGGUUCCUGUCCAACGUUAAUCGGGGCAGGGUGAGUCGACCCCUAAGGCGAGGCCGAAAGGCGUAGUCGAUGGGAAACAGGUUAAUAUUCCUGUACUUGGUGUUACUGCGAAGGGGGGACGGAGAAGGCUAUGUUGGCCGGGCGACGGUUGUCCCGGUUUAAGCGUGUAGGCUGGUUUUCCAGGCAAAUCCGGAAA